AGAGGUUGGGAGGAGAAAAAAAGAGAAACUUGUCUUCCAAUCCCAUCGCGUAUAGAGGUACCAAACUUUAAUUGUUCAAGAAUUGAAAACUCGUGCUAUAUCGUAUAUCCAUCACUUGCUUCAACUUCCAAUCUAUUACAAAGUAGGUGCAAUUUAGUUUAUUUUUUAUAUUUUUAAUGAUGUUUGAUUCUAAAUAAAAUAUAUCUAGCGG
rnacentral:lncRNA from 1 species